CUAGAAUACACAUUUUACCUGCGCAGUGCAGACGUAUUACGUAAUCGGUAGUUUCGGUUUCCACAAAAUCAUUUACUUUCUCGUCUAACAAAAAGAAACUACUUGAAAUUCAAAGGAGCAUAAAUGGCUAGUGGCGGUAAAGCUAAAUUAGGGGAUGAUUGGACAUACAAGAUUUACUUCGACCCAGAGGCUAAUGAAGACACGGGUAAAAGCUAUUUCAUCGAAGAUGACGAACUUAUUGAAAAACUGACAAAACUUGUAGACACAGAUGAAAACAUAGAAAUGCUGUAUGCCUAUAAACAUCCCCUUACUGAAAUACAGCUGACUGAUUUCUUUCUACAUCAUAUGUUCAUAGUAUUUGAAACACAUAAUUGGUGGUGGUCUAUUGAAAAGAACUCGUCGGGAAUUACAAUCCAAAGAAGCAAAAUCUUCAACGCUGUGCGAAAUAGGUACAGACAAUCGAAUCGGGUGUCUGGAAUUAAGAAGGUCAAGUCUGACAAAGGGAGACUGAGCGUUUUUGAUUUGAUAAACUGGCUGUAUAAAGAGAAUGAGCUGAACAAAGAGUAUAACUUUCUCCAUAGUAAUUGUCAGCAGUUUGCAAAAGCUGUGUUUGAUCAUGUCGCAAAACGGGAGUACUUGCAAAUAGCUACCUAAAUGGUAUAGUUAAGCAUAAGAAAAGCAUAGGUAGAUGGUAAAACCAUACGAAUAAUAUUAUGUUAGAGUUAUAUACUGCUUGAAUUUCUAAUGCCCCCACGACGUUUUGGCAUACCUUUCAUAUUUCAAAUAUUACAUUUAUGAGAUUUCCCACACAUUAAGACAUAUAUGUUGAUAUAAAUACUUGCAAUUUCAACACAAACGAGUAAUGCAAUAAUAUCAUUUUAUUACGAUCUCUACCAAUUUUAAGAAAUAUUACAAAAUACACACGACUGAUUUGCUUAUAUCAUAUAUGAGGAUACAAAGACUUACAAUGAUAUAUGUUUUAGUAUCAAACCAAAUUUAAAUUUGUGUCUAAGAUAUGACAAGAUAUAGAACAGUUUGUUUUUUUUAUGAGUUUUUUGCCGUCUAACGAAAUUAACUCGUUUUUUUAAUUCGAGACAUUUUUUAUGUUUAAAAGGUCAUAAAAUAAAUAGAAUGAUUUACUUUAUACUCUUCAGUGACAAGUACACGGGUAAAAGUUAUUUCAUCGAAGAUGAAGAACUUAUUAAAGAGCUGACAGAACUCGUAGAUAAAGAUGAAAACAGAAAUGGUGUAUGCCUUUAAACAUCCCCUUACUAAAAUACAGCUGACUGAUUUCUUUCUACAUCAUAUGUUCAUUUCUCAUAGUUUUCUUGCCUUAUAACGACAUCCGUUCGUUUGUAAAUUCGACACAUUGUACUUGUAAAAGAAAAUGAAAUAUAUGAAAAUUAAUGAUAUCAUCUAAUUUUGUUUGAAAUUUCACAAAAUUUAUAUCAUUUUUACACUUUUUUUUCAAAUUUAGAUGCAGUUAGAAUUUAUGCCUUGCAGCAAGUUCAAGUAUCACAUUUGAACAUUGUGUACGCGUAUAAUGCGUUGUGUUUCAAUUAUUUUCCUGACAUUUCUUAUUGUGCGCUUGAGUAUUCAUGCUCAACAAAUUCUGACCGAUUUAAUUAGAGAUUGUGAUUCCCAUACAACAAGGACAUCACUACUUUUAACAAUUGUCUUAUUGCAGGUUUUAUUUUAAGAUGAGCGAGACUAUUUUUAGUCUUUAUUUUUAAAAAAAAAAUCGGUUGGAUAUAUGAUCGUAUUACAUGUUUUACCAAUAGUCUCUUAUAGUUUUUUUUUUUAAGUUACUAUCUAUAGCUGUAUAAUUCAUCCAAAUGCUUAACCUUUACCCUGCUAAAUUUCUAAGAUGGACUGGUUCAUCUUUCAAUUCGGGCAGUACCAUUUAUUAUUUCAAGGGGUGUUUACUGAAAAUUUACUGACUGAAUAGCGAACAGUGCAGACCAUGAUGAUCCUGGUCUGCACUGGUUGCAAAGGCAGAAUCACUUGCUGGCAGCAGGCAGCAGGCAAAAGGUUAAAGUAGAUGUGUAUGUUCAUUGAUCAGACUUGAAGAAAAUCAUUACUAUUUGAAAAUAUA